rnacentral:rRNA from 1 species
ACUUGAACUUCGGUUUGGGUGGCGGACGGGUGAGUUACGCGUAAAGAACUUGCCUCACAGUUAGGGACAACAUUUGGAAACGAAUGCUAAUACCUGAUAUUAUGAUUUUAGGGCAUCCUAAGAUUAUGAAAGCUAUAUGUGCUGUGAGAGAGCUUUGCGUCCCAUUAGCUAGUUGGAGAGGUAACGGCUCACCAAGGCGAUGAUGGGUAGCCGGCCUGAGAGGGUGAACGGCCACAAGGGGACUGAGACACGGCCCUUACUCCUACGGGAGGCAGCAGUUGGGAAUAUUGGACAAUGGACCAAAAGUCUGAUCCAGCAAUUCUGUGUGCACGAUGACGUUUUUCGGAAUGUAAAGUGCUUUCAGUUGGGAAGAAAAAAAUGACGGUACCAACAGAAGAAGUGACGGCUAAAUACGUGCCAUCAGCCGCGGUAAUACGUAUGUCACAAGCGUUAUCCGGAUUUAUUGGGCGUAAAGCGCGUCUAGGUGGUUAUGUAAGUCUGAUGUGAAAAUGCAGAGCUCAACUCUGUAUUGCGUUGGAAACUGCAUGACUAGAGUACUGGAGAGGUAAGCGGAACUACAAGUGUAGAGGUGAAAUUCGUAGAUAUUUGUGGGAAUGCCGAUGGGGAAGCCAGCUCACUGGACAGAUACUGACGCUAAAGCGCGAAAGCGUGGGUAGCAAACAGGAUUAGAUACCCUGGUAGUCCACGCCGUAAACGAUGAUUACUAGGUGUUGGGGGUCGAACCUCAGCGC